UACGUAGGGUGCAGGCGUUAAUCGGAAUUACUGGGCGUAAAGUGUGCGCAGGCGGCCGCGCAAGUCGAGUGUGAAAGCCCCGAGCUUAACUUGGGAAUUGCGCUCGAAACUACGUGGCUGGAGUGUGGCAGAGGAAGGUGGAAUUCCAGGUGUAGCGGUGAAAUGCGUAGAGAUCUGGAGGAACACCGAUGGCGAAGGCAGCCUUCUGGGCCAACACUGACGCUCAUGCACGAAAGCGUGGGGAGCAAACAGG
rnacentral:rRNA from 1 species